GUACACUCCUGCGGGAGGCAGCAGUGGGGAAUAUUGGACAAUGGGCGCAAGCCUGAUCCAGCCAUGCCGCGUGAGUGAUGAAGGCCCUAGGGUUGUAAAGCUCUUUCACCGGUGAAGAUAAUGACGGUAACCGGAGAAGAAGCCCCGGCUAACUUCGUGCCAGCAGCCGCGGUAAUACGAAGGGGGCUAGCGUUGUUCGGAUUUACUGGGCGUAAAGCGCACGUAGGCGGACUAUUAAGUCAGGGGUGAAAUCCCGGGGCUCAACCCCGGAACUGCCUUUGAUACUGGUAGUCUUGAGUUCGAGAGAGGUGAGUGGAAUUCCGAGUGGAGAGGUGAAAUUCGUAGAUAUUCGGAGGAACACCAGUGGCGAAGGCGGCUCACUGGCUCGAUACUGACGCUGAGGUGCGAAAGCGUGGGGAGCAAACAGGAUUAGAUACCCUUGUAGUCCC
rnacentral:rRNA from 1 species